rnacentral:lncRNA from 1 species
GAUGCAAUAGGUUAGACAACAGUUACAACAGAUGUAUAAAUCUGUUUGAUAAUUUUCAGCAGAUGUUUCAUCUGUUGAAACAAAUAUUUGCUUGUUUGUUUUUAGGAACAGAUGAUGUACAUUCACCUUCUUCAGCUCAUGUUGCUCUUCUGUGGCCCUUGCACACUGAACAAUGGUGCAAGAUAAAGACAGAGGUGUUGUAAUCUUGCUUUUUUUGAUUAUUGAUGAUGCCUUAGAAGUGUCUUUCCUUCUCCUCUUAGCCACCUUGAUCUCUAGUGGAGUGUAUGGAUAUGAAAUCCUCUUUGAUGGA